CCUACGGGAGGCUGCAGUCGAGAAUCAUUCACAAUGGGGGAAACCCUGAUGGUGCGACGCCGCGUGGGGGAAUGAAGGUCUUCGGAUUGUAAACCCCUGUCAUGUGGGAGCAAAUUAAAAAGCUCGUACCACAAGAGGACGAGACGGCUAACUCUGUGCCCGCAGCCGCGGUAAUACAGAGGUCUCAAGUGUUGUUCGGAAUCACUGGGCGUAAAGGGUGCGUAGGCGGUUUGGUAAGUCGUGUGUGAAAGGCGCGGGCUCAAGCCGCGGACGGCACAUGAUAUUGCGAGACUAGAGUAAGGGAGGGGGAAGCGGAAUGCUCGGUGUAGCAGUGAAAUGCGUAGAUAUCGGGAGGAACACUCGUGGCGAAGGCGGGUUCCUGGACAUUAACUGACGCUGAGGCACGAAGGCGAGGGUAGCGAAAGGGAUUAGAUACCCGAGAAGUC
rnacentral:rRNA from 1 species